UACGGAGGGUGCAAGCGUUGUCCGGAAUCACUGGGCGUAAAGGGCGCGUAGGCGGCUCAUGAAGGCUGUGGUGAAAGUCCGGGGCUCAACCUCGGAUCGGCCGUGGCGACUCGUGGGCUGGAGCACUGUAGAGGCGGGUGGAAUUCCGGGUGUAGCGGUGGAAUGCGUAGAUAUUCGCAAGAACACCAGUGGCGAAGGCGGCUCACUGGCCCGAUACUGACGCUGAGGCACGAAAGCGUGGGGAGCAAACAGG
rnacentral:rRNA from 1 species